rnacentral:rRNA from 1 species
CACGUAGGGGGCGAGCGUUGUCCGGAAUUACUGGGCGUAAAGGGCGCGUAGGCGGCCCAAUAAGUCAGAUGUGAAAGUCCUGGGCUUAACCCAGGGAUUGCAUUUGAAACUGUUGGGCUUGAGGACAGGAGAGGAAAGCGGAAUUCCCAGUGUAGCGGUGAAAUGCGUAGAUAUUGGGAGGAACACCAGUGGCGAAGGCGGCUUUCUGGACUGUCCCUGACGCUGAGGCGCGAAAGCCAGGGGAGCGAACGGG